rnacentral:lncRNA from 1 species
AUCUGGAACAAAUUCCCCAGUUGUAAGUUGUAACCUUGUGGGUGAAUUUAAAUUUAGAGCUGUUGUGUGCAUUACUGGUCCUAGCCCUCAGUCUGAACCUUAAGCUGAACUAGAUCCAGAAGCCCUCAGUCUGAACCUUAAGCUGAAUUAGAUCCAGAUUUCCUAGAAACUGGGAACUGGGCAUGCCCCAUGAAUUUGAUGAUACAUUCAAAUAAAUGGACUUGAUGCAACAUUGAAAUAAAGUGAAUAAUCUAAAAUCUAUGCGGUCAAGAUGGCAGAGGAUUAUCAUCACUUGUUCACACAAAA